rnacentral:tRNA from 1 species
GCAUCCAUUUUCGGGCCGUGCUGAGGCCGAAAACAGAGCAUGCGUCUGGAGGCAUUUUCUCCUUCAUAUUUAGUG